CACGUAGGAGGCGAGCGUUGUCCGGAAUCAUUGGGCGUAAAGAGCGCGCAGGCGGCCCGGCAAGUCGGGUGUGAAAUCCCGGGGCUCAACCCCGGGACUGCAUUCGAUACUGUCGGGCUAGAGGUAGGUAGGGGAGAUCGGAAUUCCUGGUGUAGCGGUGAAAUGCGCAGAUAUCAGGAGGAACACCGGUGGCGAAGGCGGGUCUCUGGGCCAGCACUGACGCUCAUGCACGAAAGCGUGGGGAGCAAACAGG
rnacentral:rRNA from 1 species